rnacentral:rRNA from 1 species
UACGUAGGCGGUUUGGUAAGUCAGGUGUGAAAUCCCGGAGCUCAACUCCGGAACUGCAUCCGAUACUGCUAGACUUGAGUAAUGGAGGGGCAGGUGGAAUUCUCGGUGUAGCAGUGAAAUGCGUGGAUAUCGAGAGGAAGACCAAUGGCGAAGGCAGCCUGUUGGACAUUUACUGACGCUGAGGUACGAAGGCCAGGGUAGCGAAAG